rnacentral:rRNA from 1 species
AUUGAACGCUGGCGGCAGGCUUAACACAUGCAAGUCGAGCGGGGUGAUGGUGCUUGCACUAUCACUUAGCGGCGGACGGGUGAGUAAUGCUUAGGAAUCUGCCUAUUAGUGGGGGACAACAUCUCGAAAGGGAUGCUAAUACCGCAUACGUCCUACGGGAGAAAGCAGGGGAUCACUUGUGACCUUGCGCUAAUAGAUGAGCCUAAGUCGGAUUAGCUAGUUGGGGGGGUAAAGGCCUACCAAGGCGACGAUCUGUAGCGGGUCUGAGAGGACGAUCCGCCACACUGGGACUGAGACACGGCCCAGACGCCUACGGGAGGCAGCAGUGGGGAAUAUUGGACAAUGGGGGGAACCCUGAUCCAGCCGUGCCGCGUGUGUGAAGAAGGCCUUAUGGUUGUAAAGCACUUUAAGCGAGGAGGAGGCUUACCUAGUUAAUACCUGGGAUAAGUGGACGUUACUCGCAGAAUAAGCACCGGCUAACUCUGUGCCAGCAGCCGCAGUAA